UACCGCUUACACCCGGCAGGGGAAAGCAGGGGAUCUUCGGACCUUGCGCUAAUAGAUGAUCCUAAGUCGGAUUAGCUAGUUGGUGGGGUAAAGGCCUACCAAGGCGACGAUCUGUAGCGGGUCUGAGAGGAUGAUCCGCCACACUGGGACUGAGACACGGCCCAGACUCCUACGGGAGGCAGCAGUGGGGAAUAUUGGACAAUGGGCGGAAGCCUGAUCCAGCCAUGCCGCGUGUGUGAAGAAGGCCUUUUGGUUGUAAAGCACUUUAAGCGAGGAGGAGGCUCCUUUAGUUAAUACCUAAAGAGAGUGGACGUUACUCGCAGAAUAAGCACCGGCUAACUCUGUGCCAGCAGCCGCGGUAAUACAGAGGGUGCGAGCGUUAAUCGGAUUUACUGGGCGUAAAGCGUGCGUAGGCGGCUUUUUAAGUCGGAUGUGAAAUCCCUGAGCUUAACUUAGGAAUUGCAUUCGAUACUGGAAAGCUAGAGUAUGGGAGAGGAUGGUAGAAUUCCAGGUGUAGCGGUGAAAUGCGUAGAGAUCUGGAGGAAUACCGAUGGCGAAGGCAGCCAUCUGGCCUAAUACUGACGCUGAGGUACGAAAGCAUGGGGAGCAAACAGGAUUAGAUACCCUGGUAGUCCAUGCCGUAAACGAUGUCUACUAGCCGUUGGGGCCUUUGAGGCUUUAGUGGCGCAGCUAACGCGAUAAGUAGACCGCCUGGGGAGUACGGUCGCAAGACUAAAACUCAAAUGAAUUGACGGGGGCCCGCACAAGCGGUGGAGCAUGUGGUUUAAUUCGAUGCAACGCGAAGAACCUUACCUGGCCUUGACAUACUAAGAACUUUCCAGAGAUGGAUUGGUGCCUUCGGGAACUUAGAUACAGGUGCUGCAUGGCUGUCGUCAGCUCGUGUCGUGAGAUGUUGGGUUAAGUCCCGCAACGAGCGCAACCCUUUUCCUUAUUUGCCAUCGGGUAAUGCCGGGAACUUUAAGGAUACUGCCAGUGACAAACUGGAGGAAGGCGGGGACGACGUCAAGUCAUCAUGGCCCUUACGGCCAGGGCUACACACGUGCUACAAUGGUCGGUACAAAGGGUUGCUACCUCGCGAGAGGAUGCUUAAUCUCAAAAAGCCGAUCGUAGUCCGGAUCGCAGUCUGCAACUCGA
rnacentral:rRNA from 1 species